CCGAGGCGUGAGGGCGGACGUGUGGC
rnacentral:piRNA from 1 species